rnacentral:rRNA from 1 species
CCUACGGGUGGCAGCAGUGGGGAAUAUUGCACAAUGGGCGCAAGCCUGAUGCAGCCAUGCCGCGUGUGUGAAGAAGGCCUUCGGGUUGUAAAGCACUUUCAGCGGGGAGGAAGGCGGUGAGGUUAAUAACCUCAUCGAUUGACGUUACCCGCAGAAGAAGCACCGGCUAACUCCGUGCCAGCAGCCGCGGUAAUACGGAGGGUGCAAGCGUUAAUCGGAAUUACUGGGCGUAAAGCGCACGCAGGCGGUCUGUCAAGUCGGAUGUGAAAUCCCCGGGCUCAACCUGGGGACUGCGUUCGAAACUGGCAGGCUAGAGUCUUGUAGAGGGGGGUAGAAUUCCAGGUGUAGCGGUGAAAUGCGUAGAGAUCUGGAGGAAUACCGGUGGCGAAGGCGGCCCCCUGGACAAAGACUGACGCUCAGGUGCGAAAGCGUGGGGAGCAAACAGGAUUAGAUACCCGAGUAGUC